rfam:Brachypodium distachyon strain Bd21 chromosome 1, whole genome shotgun sequence.
AGCUGCGUGGUGAGCACAAAGCGAACUAUUCUUUCGCCUUUUACUAAAGAAUACCGUGUGCGCGCCACAGUUAAGCAGCAUACGCUAAUUUUUGAAGGGCUCCUUCCUCUAAGAGGAGGGU